UGGAUUUACUGUUCAUCUGCAUCUGCACAUUUGCAGAUGCCUGUGAUCACAACAGCUGGAGUUAUAUACAGGGUAUAGUAUAUCGAUGGGGGGAAAUAUGCACAGAGUAGAAGAGAAUGGGAAGAAAUGCAUCGUGAUCCACGGUUUUAGUGGCUCUUCUUUCCAGGAAGGAGGGUUCAUCAUCACUCCUGCACAGGAGAUCAGUCAAAAGUGAAACCUGAACUUGAAGUAUUGAAAAAACAGCACAGAAAUGGAGAGCUUACAAAAAACCAGAGCGAUAAAUUCUCUAUCAAUGCUAGACUUCACACUGGUAUCUGAUGUGGACUGCAAUCUGCCUUGUGCUACAACAGCUUCAUAGCUGUCCCCAAAGCUAAGAGAAAGGAGGUGAAAGGCAGCCCAGCCAGAGCUGUUAGAUCUAGAAGAAAAGGGAGCAGCACGUGCUUGAGAGGCCAGCUGAGAUCAGGGAGAAAACAAGAAGUAAGGCAACCACUGACAAGGUAGGAGGAAAUAAAUCUGCUGCAGGAGAGCAGGACAGUCCUGGAUUGGGGCCUGGAGGCAUGGCGGCAUCUCCAUCCUUGGGGACCAUCUACCAUGAGACCUGACCUGACUGUGAGGUUGUGAGGGAGAGAAGGGGCAGAGAGACCCCAAGACUUCCCACCUAAACCCUCUGUCAUUUUCCAAACCUGUGAACUUCCUACAUCUACCCCAAAGGAUGGGGUUGAAUGCACCAGAAAAUGAAACUUUGGAAGCAAAACUUUGGCCCUAAAAUUAUCACAGAAGUGAGCUGUGGAAACAAAAUGAUUGUAUUAGCAGACUGGCUUGAGCAUUACUAUCAGCCUGUCUGACAGAAUGGACAAAUAUUUCCUGCAGAGUUAAUAGAGCUCUACCGGGUGGCUCUUAAUAGUUGUUUAUUUUAUUUUUCACUGUUCAUAAUAAACCU